GUUCCCCAACUUCUUUUUAGAGCCGAAUAGAUAGCCCUCACCAGACUCCAAUGAGACUCUGCCACUAUCUUCACCACACGUCACCGUCAGCUACCUCCGACCAUCUGCCAAAGUUUAUCUAAAAGAUGCCCACUGUCUUUUCUUUCCAGUUUCGAACACGAAUCUUCACAGAUCAACACCCAGUAUCUCAGAUUUACGACCAAAGUCACGACCCUUCUAACAUCCAAUCACCUUUUUUCAUCGUCUGAUCUUGUCGAUCUUUAGACUCGUUUGCCGCGUUGGCUACACCAAGGAAACAUGAUUUUGUUGAGAAGACAAAGAAGAGUAGUAAAACAGCAGCUGCUAUGAUCUGCAUGGCUCAGCAUUUGUUGCUUUGGGUACUGAUUGCUUGGUUUGCUACUCCAAUUUAUAAAGGAGUUUGGACCACUGUUAUUUCUUCACGUUUAUCAUUGAGCUAAGACAGAAGUCCAUUAUUCACCACUCUCUCUCUCAACUCUCUCGCUCUCUCUCUCGUUUAUUAAUUUGGCAGUUCCUAAGCCCUACCACAUCUUGCAGUGCUACUGUUACCCGCAUGAAAAACACAUUAAAAAUGCCUAUUUAUCUUCUUUCAACCGCAGACUUGUAAAGUUAUUUUUCAAAGACGAUUUAAUAGAUAAAUUUAGGUCAAUAA